rnacentral:miRNA from 15 species
CUCUCAGGCCCGUCAGCCCGUG